GGCUUCGGGCUCUGGUAUGAUGGAACCAUUUUAAUCGCAAUGGCUUGAACCGGGCAAAAGUCGUAACAAGGUAUCUGUAGGUGAACCUGCAGAUGGAUCAUCGC
rnacentral:rRNA from 1 species